ACGCUCGACACCUACGGGGGCAGCAGUGGGGAAUAUUGCACAAUGGGGGAAACCCUGAUGCAGCGACGCCGCGUGAGUGAAGAAGUAUUUCGGUAUGUAAAGCUCUAUCAGCAGGGAAGAAGAUGACGGUACCUGAGUAAGAAGCCCCGGCUAACUACGUGCCAGAAGCCGCGGUAAUCUGAGCGGGCUGGCAAGGC
rnacentral:rRNA from 1 species